rnacentral:misc_RNA from 1 species
CUUUUUUUUAAAAAGGCUUUUUUGAUCUUGAAACUCAAUGUCAAACGGAGCAGAACUUAUCCAUUUGCUGUCCGCUUGUAAUUCACUCUUUUUAGAAUUUCUACCUAUGGCUUAUGUAGAAUAAUGACAAUUAGUUCUAAGGACCUUAGGACCCAGCAAACAAACUUUCUAAUCGUAAAAAAUGAUGUGAAAACCACUUUUUUUGUGCAUUCUACUAAAAACUUAUCAUAAAAAUUAACCAAAGAAAAAUCCAUACCGUGAUUUUGGGGCCUCUCCCUU